AAAAAUUCAAGCCAUGCCCAUUCUUAUUACAUGAUCUACGGAAUUCUUAGUCAUCACAAAGGGCAAUGAUUAUGUGUCUACAUGGGUGGAAUCCUAUCCUACCAGACUCCUUGAGAAGAAUAAACUUAAGAUCAAACUAUUAUUGGAAGGAUUUUAGAAAUGGAAACUGGAAAUUGUUGGUUUUGGCUUAUGCCACAAGUUGUGAACCCAGAUGGGUGAGAUCUCUCCUCUAGGUGUUAUUUUCUUUUCCAAGUCACAUUUGAUAAAAUCUAGGGGAGUGAUGAAGUUAAAUAAAGUUGAGAACCACUGGAGUGAAUGAAGAAAGAAGAUGUGAGAUUAUACUAGAAGAAAAAUCACUUCAGAAAGUCUUGAGUUGAACUCUUCUGAAAACCAAGAGAAAGCAAGGCAGUUGAAUUCAACACUUUACUUUUCAUCAGCUCAGUGCAAAUGAAAACAAGUUUAAAUGUGGGCCUUGGUCAUGUAUAGAGAAUUUCACUGCUGAGGACAAGCUUGGAGGAAAGGGACCAAAAAUUACCCAUGGAAUAUUUCAACGGAUAUGCUCUAGUUUUCUUGUUUUUGAUGUUUUGUUCUUUUUUGGGUACUUCUUUCUUUUUGUUGAUGUUUAAAAUCAAAUUAACUUCUUUUAUUGACUAUUAAGUAAAUAUUUGAUUUAGUGGUUUAAAUAUAAGCAUAAUUUUUUUAAAAUCCUAAAUUUCUUGAUUUCUGUGCCUAAAGCUGAUCAUGUCUAAAUACUGUACCACUCUGUUACUCCUCAAAAGAAGGCACAUGAGGUGGAUGUCUUUUUCCAGAGGCUUAAUCUGGAAGAGCUAACUUCUCUGCACAGAAACUUCAAAUGGUCAUGAAAACUCCCUCCAAAAAAGUAGAAAAAAGACUUGCAAAAUAUGUUGAGAAUUUCCACUGUGUGGAUAAAUGUGGAAGGAAACCAAAGAAAGUGUCUUUGACAGCUGCUCCACCUACAUGCAGAUGGGAGAGGAGGUUGCUCCCUUAUGAUUCUUUUGAACGUCAAUCCUAUAACCUUAAAACCAUCACUACAGCACUGGACAUUUAAUUUUGAGACUUGGUAAUUUGUUGCUAAUAUUAUAAUUCUUGAAA
rnacentral:lncRNA from 1 species